rnacentral:misc_RNA from 1 species
GUCAGAUUACAUCUGGAGGACAAAAGCAAGAAGUAAGCAGUGCUGCAUUGGCAGCGAAAUAGAUUUGAGCAGCCUUUUGACCGGAAAAUCAAGACAUCCACCACCACUACCACCGCUGUGCCGCUGCCACCUGCACCAUCAAAAGUUUAUUACACUUUAAAAUAAAUUCAUGGCAGAUCCUCACUUACAAAUAGACCAACAGCCUCGCCCUCCUGUCCAUACCCCUCUUCUUCCUCCAACUCAUAACAACACCAACAACCACCACGACGGCCGCCGCCAAGAUCAAGAAACCGAUCUCGAUCAGGCUCUUGAAGGGUUAGAGACAUUUCUUACCCUUCUGGGUUUCAACCAGUCUUCUGUUCUGAGCUUUCUUCUUUCUUGGACAGUGUUUAUAUUGAUAGGUGUGUCGCUUCCUGUUAUGAUACUGGAGUUGUCUAAAUGUGGUGGCUGCGAAAAGUACCAGAUUAAGGAUUUUGAACUCGAUAUCGUUGCAUCUCAAGCGUGUUUAGCGGCUGUUUCUUUGGCUUGCCUUUCUCAUAGUCUACGCAAGUAUGGCAUAAGAAAGUUUCUGUUCCUUGACCGCCGUAGCGGCCCUAUUAUGGCUCGCUUUGGCCACAAAUAUGUUCAACAGAUGAAGGACUCUUUACGUUUGCUGAUCCUCUGGUCGCUGCCAUGUUUCAUUCUGAAAGUUGUGCGAGAGGUCAUUCGUGUAUUAUACGUGCAGCAUGAAUCAUGGUGGUUGUCUGCCGCUAUUUUGUUUGGUUUGAUUCUAUCUUGGGGUUAUGUCAGUACAAUAUCUUUAUCAGCCAGCAUUCUAUUUCAUCUAGUUUGCAAUUUACAAGUUAUUCACUUUGAUGACUAUGCUAAGCUCUUGGAAAGAGAAUCUGAUGUUUUGGUAUUUAUAGAGGAGCACAUUCAUCUCCGUUAUCACCUCUCUAAGAUAAGCCAUAGAUUCCGAAUUUUUCUUCUUCUGCAGUUCUGUGUUGUUACAGCUAGCCAAAUCGUGACGCUUUUCCAGACCACAGGAUAUAGUGGAAUAAUUACUGUUAUAAAUGGGGGUGACUUUGCAGUAUCUUCAAUUGUUCAAGUAGUUGGAAUAAGUAUUUGUUUGCAUGCUGCCACGAAAAUAUCCCACAGAGCCCAAGGUAUUGCAUCUAUAGUGAGUAGAUGGCAUGCAUUGGCAACGUGCAUUUCAAGUGAUGCAUCUCAUCAAAUGAGAGUUUCGAAUAGUGCGGGGAACUUGGAAGCUGCAAAUCAACUAAACUCACUACAUUUAAGCUAUUCUGAAAGUGAUUUGGAGUCGGUGGAUUAUAUUGCAAUGCCUACAAAUACACAGUUGGCAUCCAACAUGUCAUCAUAUCACAGAAGGCUAGCCUUUGUAUUGUAUCUGCAAAACAAUCCUGGAGGAAUCACUAUAUUUGGUUGGACGGUUGAUCGUGCAUUAAUAAACACAAUCUUCUUCAUUGAACUUACUCUAGUGACUUUUGUGCUUGGAAAGACUAUAGUAUUCACUUCUAAAUGAUUAAUUUCCAGGCCAGAGUUCACACUUAGAAGAAAAUCUUUCAAGGUAUCACUUUUGUCAUCGAUAAGAUCGAGCAAUCUGGCUCUUCAAUAUUGCUCAGAGGUUCCCAUUUCUGGUUAUUUUGAUUGAACACCUUAACCAUUGAAGUGGUGAAUAAGAAGGUUAUCAUAUUGUCUAGCAUUAAAGGGUAAGAGCCAGAGAGAGAGGAAAUCCCUUGUAAAACUUGGAAAAAUACUCAUACCUAUGUACAUGGCGUUUUUAUUUCAUGUUAUUUAGAAGGGAA